rnacentral:rRNA from 1 species
AAUACGUUGGGUUCUGAUGCUGGCUCUUCACAGGGCAUGUGCUCGUCCCAUCUAUUUAUCUUCUCUUGUGCACCUUUUGUAGUCUUUUUGAAUGAAUAGCAGUUAUUGGAGCGUGAGCGCGCAAGCGCACUGCACCUGUCUGUUUUGCUUUCUUCAGAGGGACUACGUUUUCAUAUACACUAUAAAGUUACAGAAUGUCUUUUAAGGAUUGCGCUCGUCGCAGUCAUUAAACCUAUACAACUUUCAGCAACGGAUCUCUUGGCUCUCCCAUCGAUGAAGAACGCAGCGAAAUGCGAUAAGUAAUGUGAAUUGCAGAAUUCAGUGAAUCAUCGAAUCUUUGAACGCACCUUGCGCCCUUUGGUAUUCCGAAGGGCAUGCCUGUUUGAGUGUCAUUAAAUUAUCAACCUUGCUUUGCUUUUACUAGCAUUGCUCGGCUUGGAUGUGGGGGUUUUUGCUGGCUUCCUUCAGUGGAUGGUCUGCUCCCCUUAAAUGCAUUAGUGGGAUCUCUUGUGGACCGUCACUUGGUGUGAUAAUUAUCUAUGCCAUGCGACUUUGAAGCAAACUUUAUGGGAACCUGCUUAUAACCGUCCCUCACAAGGACAACUUUAUUGACAUUUUGACCUCAAAUCAGGUAGGACUACCCGCUGAACUUAAGCAUAUC